GCGUUGAAACACCGGUUCUCGUACGAUCACCGAUUUUAAGCAACUUCAAGCCUGGCCAGUAUCUAGAUGGGUGAUUGCUUGGGAAUACCAGGUGCUGUA